GUGUUACUUUGGUAGCACAUAUACUAAAAUUGGAACGAUACAGAGAAGAUUAGCAUGGCCUCUGCGCAAGGAUGACACGCAAAAUCAUGAAGCGACUACAACCUAAAUUUAU
rfam:Tetraodon nigroviridis, WGS project CAAE01000000 data, contig: CNS0BNYB, chromosome: undetermined